GUCUUUUAUGGUAUGCAAGCUUUAAAUGCAACUUAAGUAUUAAACAUUUCAAUAAACUUUUAUGUAAAUCGUGCAUUACUGUUAGCCAACAUGAAUACUAUAUA
rnacentral:ncRNA from 8 species